rnacentral:lncRNA from 1 species
UUGCUUAUUUUAAUUCCCAUUUUGACUUUUUCAGAAUCCAUUGCGCCCCUUGGUGUUAGGGGGUGAUCACUCUAUAUCCUAUCCUGUUGUAAGAGCUGUGUCUGAAAAGCUUGGAGGGCCUAUUGAUAUCCUUCACCUUGAUGCCCAUCCUGACAUUUAUCAUGCCUUUGAAGGAAACAAAUACUCACAUGCAUCAAGCUUUGCACGGAUAAUGGAGGGUGGUUAUGCUCGACGGCUUUUGCAAGUAAUAUAUGUUCUUUCUAUAGACCAGCUAAGCAUAUAUAACUUUGUAUGCUAUUUCUUGGUUUAAUCAAAUACAAAAUAUUUACCAGAACACUUGAUCUUAUAUGUAGGUGGGAAUUAGAUCAAUUAAUAAAGAAGGUCGAGAACAAGGAAAAAGGUUCGGUGUGGAGCAAUAUGAAAUGCGAACAUUUUCCCAAGACCGACAAUUUUUGGAGAAUCUGGUCUGUAUAUCUUUACCUUCGCUUUCCUUUACCUUACCCUCUUGUAUUUUCUGUCCAAAUCAUAUACAUGCAAAUAUGUUCAUCACUUCAGGAAUUCUGAAUAUGAUGAGUCUAUUCCAGAUGCCUAAUACUCUCACAUUUCUUUCUGUCUCAAUAUAUCCUACUAUAAGCUAUGAUCCCCUUCAAUUUCAUUAUAUUUGCUGUUACUUACCAAAUGUAGCAACUGCUAAUCUUCCAUUGUCUAUACGCUGGAAUUUUGUUAUUUAUUUGCUUCAUUAAUAAUCUCAAUUGUUCAACUAUUAUUCUUGUACAUUCAGAAACUUGGCGAAGGUGUGAAGGGCGUGUAUAUCUCAGUGGAUGUUGACUGUAUGGAUCCAGCAUUUGCUCCUGGAGUAUCUCAUAUAGAACCAGGAGGUCUCUCUUUCCGCGAUGUUCUAAACAUACUGCAUAACCUUCAAGCUGAUGUUGUUGGUGCUGAUGUGGUUGAGUUCAACCCGCAGCGUGAUACUGUUGAUGGCAUGACUGCAAUGGUUGCUGCGAAGCUGGUAAGAGAACUUACUGCCAAGAUAUCCAAGUGACCUGCAGUAAUUUCUAAAAUUAUGAAGGAAGAAUUACCAUGCAUCCAAUAGAGACCACUAGAUUUGUACUCAUCUUUACUGGGGAGGUUUAACAGAGAAUAAGCACCAAAAUGAAGUGUUUAUUCACCUUAUUGUAACUCUAAAACUAAAAGCUAUAUUUGCAGUUCAUUAUGAGGACCCUGUGAUUCUUAUAAUCUUUUAAGUGGUGCAGAUUUUGAUGUGUUCUGUUAACUUGUGUAGGGAUGUUUUGAAUCUUUUAUAGUGUUUUCAAAUAGCUGUAGGGAAAAGUGUGUCAGUGAAUUUUAGGCAAAAGCUAGAUUAUGAUUCUACUCUUACACUAUAUUUAAAUAUAUUAUAAAUAUUUAAUUAAAUAUUUAUUCUUUUAAAGUCUGUUAACCUCCUACAUCUAUUAAGAAAUUAUACAUUGAUUUAGGAAGUGAUGCAUUGAAUCAGUUAUUAAUUUAAUUAGCACGUAAUUAAUAAAUUUAUCAAGAAAUUAGAUAGAACAAUCAAUUUAUAAUAAACUGGAUUCUAAAUAUUUUUUUGUCAUAUUAAUAUUGCUUAAUGAAUUAGCCACAAUAAUUUUUUAAGUUAUAAUAUUUUAAAAGUCACAUAUCUUACCUCAAUCUUUUAACCUUCUAUUAUUUGUGGUGAGAAAGAUCAAAAGUUGUUUUUUUAAUUUAAUGAUUUUAAUGAUACUGGACAAAGAAUUCAAUGAAUCUAUAAGUACAAUUAUAUAUGGAGUACUCAUUAUAUAUGUGUCAUGCUUCUCUUUUACUUCCACAAACAACAUAUUUCUCAUUUGCAUCUCAAUUUUUAGUUAUUAUGAUAUUAUAUUUUUCUUUUUAUGCUUUAGAAUAAUUAUUAAUACUAUUUUGCAUGAAUUUUAUAUGGGCAACUUUCACAUAUAGUAAACAUAAAAUUCAUAUUUGUAUGCGAUAACAAAUUUUGCACAGUUGCACUCCAUAGCAAACAUAUAAAUGUAUAAUUCGCUAUACAUAUACAAUUGAAGCGAAUUAUAUAAAACAGAGUGUAUAAAACGAGAAAGAGAGAGAGACUUGGGCAGAGAAUUGUAUAAAAACGAAUUAUGUAAUUAUAAAUGUAUAGAACGAUCAUAUAUAAUUUAGUGUAAAUUAGGUAUAUAACAUUUUUUAUAGUAAUAUUCUCAAGUUAAUAGCACUAGAGUUUGAAUUUCAUUGUAUGACAUUUAAUAUCUCAAGUUAUAGCAUUUUAAAAAAAUAUAUAAUGUUAAUUUUAAAUUAUUAAAAAGAGUUGUUAAAAUAAAAAAUAAAUUAAAAAAACGGACAAAUUAAUAAUGGAAAAUGAGAUCUUUUAUUAAAUAAAUUAAAUAUAAUUAUUAAUUACUGUUAAUAAAUUAGCACGUUUUAAGGGAUUUUAAAUUUUUUUAGAUUAGUUAGUUGCCUUAAUUCUCUCAAAUUAGUUUAAAUGAUAUUAAUUUUUGAUUUAAUUCCUUGAAAAGCUCUACCAAAUUGGCAUGCUUUCCAAAAUUUCACAAUCUUUUUGAGAUUUGCAGAUUUUAUUUUCAUUUUUUAUUAGUAGUUGAAUAAAUUUUGGCGUUGAAAACAAUUUGAUUUGAUUUGAUGGAGAACAAUGUGUCGAUAUUAAUAAAACAUGGUGGAAAAUGGAAUUCAUCAUAUUGAUUUUUGUUAUGAUUUGUUGUUUUAAUUAUGAAUUGUUGGUUUUAAUUAUAUUUAUUGUUUUGUACAUGUAUAAAAGUGUUCGAUUUUUUUUUAAUUAUUGUUAGAUCUAAAAUAUACUUUGUAUGUUCUUUUUUUGGAUAAACAAUCAAGUUACGUAUGGCAUUUUGAAAAACGAUAAGUAAAUAUAAAUGUGUUUGAGUUGUAAUUAAAUUGAAGAUUCGCGUGUUAGUUGAUUUGUGAAGAAAAUUAUAAAAAUGUACAUUUAUUAACUAGACAAAUAAUAAUUAGAUAUAAUUCUUUGUACAGGUAAAGUAUUACAAAUGUAUUACAAAUGUUUGAAAAUUAUAUAAAAAUUGUAUUUAAUGGUAAAACCUGCUCAGAUAAUAUUCAAAAAGUAAGAAGAUAUAAUUUUGUGUAUUGGUGAAGUAUGAAAAUUGUAUUAAUUGUGUAUGAAAUUUAUAAGAACUUGUAUUAAUUGUGUAUGAAAAUCUAUAUUUUGUUAAACUCACAAUAUAUGUUUCUGUUGAAAUUAUAAUAUAUAUUUUGUAUUAAUUUUGUACAGAAACUAUAUUCUUUUUGUUUAAUUGAAAUAGUGUAUAUGUCAGUGAAUGAUAUAUUAAAUGCGUAUGAAGUUUGUACGAAUUAUUUUGAUAGGUACAGAUACAAAAUCAGAAAUUGGUCCACAUUUUAGACCGGUUACAGCAACAAGUUCUUUUAACCCAAGAUGUAACUUUGUACCAUUUACAUUCAUAACAAACAUGUCAUCCCUGUCAUUUUUAGUUUCAAGAAUAAAUAUAUGUCAUAACAUCUGACAUUGGAUUUUUAUGUCAUGCAAAUCGUAAAAAAAUUCAAAUGGUGUUUCUUGUAAGAAUUGUUGAAACUUGUCUUGACCUAGGAAGGUCAACAGAUCCGCAAACACAUUCAUGUUAAUACAUGAAGACAAAUGUAUUUGUAUCUUCUUCUCCUAUAAUAUUGGUAAAUUAAAUUAAUACAUUUAUCAUACUAUAUAAUGUCAUAUAAAAUCAUAUAUAUACCGGUAUAUUAAAUGGACAUUCAAUUCAUACACAAAGCAUACAAAAAUUGUACAUUAGUUCAUACACAAUGCAUACAAUAUCAAUACAUAUUUAAUUUUUAAAAAUAAUAAUAAUUUAUGACUUUUAAACUAUAAACUACUACUCAAACAGUACCAAUACAUUAAUUCAUACAUCAAAAUCAGAACAUAAAAUAUACAGCUUUAAUACUUUUAAUAAUAGUAAAAAAUAUACAACAUACAACACUAAUACAUUAUUCAUACACUGAUAUUGUAAUAGACAAUAUAGCAUUUCAUACACAUAGCAUACAAAGUUAAUACAUUAAUGCAUACAUUCCUAUAGUGAAAUAUAGUAAUUAUUUUAUACACAAAAUCAUACAACAUUAAUACAUUAUUAUUUAUCAAAAAUCAUACUUUGUUGUAAUCCAAUUAUAUAUUCACAAAUCAUACAAUAUUAAAUCAUACAAUAUUCAUAUAUAAUUAUAAUAUACAAUACUAAAAACUCAACUGAUAUAUAAAUCAUACAAAUUUCAUGUACUAUACUAUUGACAAAUAAAAUCAAAAUUAAACACACUUAAAUCAUACAUUUUAAUUGAAAUUUGAAAAAAUCUUUUUACUGACCUUAACAACUUGUUUAGGUUUAUUUGUGGCUUAUCUCUGACCUAUCAAUUUCAAUGCCUUUUGCUUUUUUUGAUUUUGUAUUACAAUAUAUUCAUACACCGUUCAUACAUUGUUUAUACAUUUAUAAUGUAAUAAAGUAGAUGUAGCAUUUCAUACAAACUUACAACAUUCUUUCAUAUACAAUAUAUUCAACACUAAAUAUACAAAUCAAAACAUAAAGUAUGUAAUUUUAUUAUGGAUAUUAAUAUUCAACAAUAUCAUAAACUUGAUACAAAACUUAAUACACAAAUCAAACAAAUUUAAUAUACAUAUCAUACCAAAUUAAUACAUUGAAUCAUACACAAUUCAUAAAUGUUUCAUAUAUUGAUAUUGUAAUAUAAAAAAAUGUGUAAUUUCAUACAGUGAAUCAUACACAAUUCAUACAUAAAUAAAAGAACAUAAAAAUGUACUAUACUAUUCACAAUUAACUCGAAAUUAGAAUAAAAUUAAAUAGAUAAUUUUAAUUUAAUUUUUUUUAAAUUUUUUUUUUACUAACCUUUAAAUUUUUUUUGAGUUUAACUGUUUCUUCUUCUUCUUGUAAAUGUGAAGUAUCGAUUUCAGAGGUUCUUGAUUUUUUUUAUUUUGAUUUUAUCAAUUCUUCUACAAAAUCAGAUUCAGAAUCUGAUGAGUACUCAAUUUGUUUUCCUUUCCUUUUCUUUCCUCUGUCUUUUGCCCUUUUCUCCGAUUCGUCUACUUUCUGCUUUUCUUUCCCUUUUCUCUUCUUCUCGGAUUCCUUUGGAUGUUUGUUUGUUUUUUUUUUCAUUUUUGAUUUCUCUGAUCUAGCUUUGUCUUUUGCAUAUGAAGGCUGAGUUUGUGAUAAAAUUUUGAAAGAUGGAGCAUGAAAUUCGUCUGAGCUUUGUUCAUCAUUCAACCUUUUGAAUUUUCGCAGGAUUUCAUUGCCUCUCUUCGACAUUGAACAAUUUUUUAAGUGCAAGAGAUGAAGAUUUGAGUGCAGAAAAGGAAGAUUUGAGUGCAAAAUAGUAGAAUUUGAGAAGAUGACUGUUAAGAUUGAAAAUUUUUUGAGCAUGCAAAAGAGAUGAUUUGGUAAAAAAUUAAUUGUUAGGCGUGCAAAAGAGAUGAUUUUGUGAGGAUUUGAGGAAGAACAAAUGGGGCAGUGUGACAGUUUUAAAAUAAAACUGUAAUUAUUUUAGAUACUAGUUAUUAAUUAUGGAAUGAUAAAAUCCCUAUUAUUUUGUAAUUUUUUUGAAAAAGGUAACUAUAUAAUAUUUAUUUGAAUUUACACUAAUUAAGAGUUUUGUUUAAAAAAGGUAACUUAAAAUAAUUAAUUUAAUUAACUACAUUGGUUUAAAAAAGGUAACUGAAUAAUAAAUGUAAUUAUUUAAAUAAGUUUAUUAUUAUUUAAAAAAAUUAAUGAGAAUAAUAUGUUUCUUCUUGAUAUGCUAUAACUUGAUAGUAAUAUGCUAUAAAUAGUUUAUUAUUAAAAAAAUAUGUUUAUAACUUGAUAUUUAUCAUCUUAAAUGUGUGUGUAGUGUUAUUUUUAUUACAAUUUAAAUUUGUACAAAAUGAGAAAGAGAGAAAGGCAAAAGAGAUUUGAAGCAGGGAAUAUACAAAACGAGAAAGAGAGAAAUUAUAUACAAUUUGAAUUUGAAUAAAACGGGAAAGAGAGAAAGGCAAAAGAACUGGGUAGGGGAAUAUUUUUAUUGUAUAAUUAUAAGUGUGUAGGACGAAAAUAUAUAUAUUUGCAUGUGUAUAUACAAUUUUCUCUCGCUUUAUACAAACAGAAAUGCAAUUUAUACACUGCGCUUCUAUUUGUAUAAGCGAGAGAGGCGAAGAUGGCAAGCGAUAUUAGGGAGAGUGGCGAGCGAGAUCUGGAAGUGGGAGAGAGGGGAACAAAAAUAUACAUAUUUAUACAAUUUUCUCUACUUUAUACAAAUAGAAACAAAUUUUAUACACUUCUGUUUGUAUAAAAUGGAGAGGAAGCGAGCGAGAGAGGAGAGUGGCAAGGGAGAGUUUGAGGGAGAGAGGUGACUGACAAACAGUUUACUACGGGACACAAUUAAAUCAAAGGGUGAAUUUAUUAAUUUGCCAUUAUAUACAAUUUUCCCAUUUUACAUUGUUAAGAACUAAUUACAUAAUUUUUUAUUCUUUUCAAAAUUACAAAUAUUAUAUCAAAGUACUUUGAGUCAAAAACUAAUGUAAUUCAAAAGCAAUACUUGUACGGUAAUUGACUUAACUAUCUAGACAUAAUACUGUAAGCACAUCAUAAAUUAAGAUAUCAAUUUAAUAAUCUUAGCACAAAAACAAGUUUAGUAUUUAGAAAUACUUAAAGAGAAGUUCAAACACAAAAUGUUUGUCCGAAUAAUGUGGCAUAAUGUUGGUUGGUUUUAGGCAAAUAUCUUUAUGUAAGUCAUUAACUUAAUAUAGGUAUGACAACGAUAAAAUUAUUGCUAAACCUGCAGUGGGAUUAGUGUUUGUUCAAAAUCGAUUUCUCUUUAUUUUUUUAUUUUCUCUAAGUUUCUAUUUGAAAUGCUGGCACAUAGCAUAUAAUUAAAAACUAAAUUUAGCCAUUAAAUUAACUAUAUGUCAUCAAUACAAAAGAAACUUGGAGAAAAUAGAGAGAAGGGAAAUGGAGAGAAGUCGGCUUCUCCAAUGUUUACCUUGUUUGGAUGGAUACCCGUAGUAUUGUAUGGUGUGAAUACUAUUAGUCACUUCCUCUAUUUUAUAUUAAUAGAAUUUUUGAAAUAUAUUUUAUUAUUCAAAGUUUAAAAUGGAUAUUCAAUUUAUUUUUUUUUGGAAAAACACAUAAAUUUCCUCUUGAAUCUGUCUUGAAAAGUCAGUUGCACGUUUAAACUAUUGUCGUAGCCUAUUACACACCUAAUAUUAUUCAAAGUGAUAUUAAUACCUCUUUGAAGGUGACGUGACAAAGAAAAUAUCUUCACCUUCUCAAGGUGUGGUGCAUGAGAAGAAAAAAUAUAUAUUAAAAUGAUAAAUUUAAACACAAUAAACUUUUUUAUUGGUCAUUAUAUAGUUAAGUAUUAUAAUUUUUAAUAUAUUAAUUAUGUCAAUUUUUUUUUACAUCUUUUUAUUGGUGGCCCAAACUUUUUUAAAUUUUUAGAUUUUUCUUUAUUUUGAGUUCUUCUUCGAUAAUCACUGUAAUUUGUAUUAUCAAUUAUUUGAUGGCAGCAUAUUUAACACUCUACCCUUAAAAGGGAAUUCUUAAAAAGUAAUAGAAAGGAGUAAAAAAAUAUGAUUUUCUUAUUAAUAAUUUUCAACUUAGGGAAUUCUUAAGAAGUAAUAGAAAGGAGUAAAGAAUAUGAUUUUCUUAUUAAUAAUUUUUAAUUUAAAGUUUAUGAUUUUUUCGUUCGAACUAGCGGAGGAUUCAUCAAAUCAAAAGCUCACCAAAACAAAAUUAUGAUAAUGACUUCAAUUAAAAAUUCUGUAAUAUUUAUGCAUAAAAUUUAUGAUUUUAUUAUCUAAAUUUAUCAAAAGUUCAUCGAGAAUUUUCUUUUUCAUUAUUUAUCUUUUCUAUUCUUGUUGGAGCACUACCUACAAUGACUACAAUGUCAUUUUUCUAUCUUUGAUCAUCAUCACAAAUAGAAAAUACUAAUGAAAUAUUUGAUUUACAGAGUUAUCAAGUUUUUAAAGAAUUUUACAGAUUUUUGAAAUUUUUUAUUUAUUCCACUAGCAAAAAUGAUGUUGCCCGCCGCCGCCAACAUUUGUAUACUUCAUAAUCGAUUUACUGUCUCCUAUUUUCUCUUUAAAAUAUAUUUUUCCUUCCAUUUAUGAACAAUGAAGAAAAACGAAGAAAUGAAUUUUAAAGAGAUAUGUAUGGUUAGAGCAGAGCUAGGUUCUUUUUUUUGCAAAAAUCUAAAAAAUAUCAAGGAAAACAGGUUUAAAAAACUUUAAAUAAUAUUCUUUACAUGUAAAAUUGUGUGUACAAUACAUUUUAAAACAAAAUUGAAAAUUGUCUUUAGAAAACAAAAUUGAAAAUUGUCUUUAGAAGGUGACAUUAAUGUCAAAAAAUUAUGUACUAGGUCGCUACAAUAGUUACCUGUUUUUUUUUUUUUGGAAAAAGUUCAAUAGAAAAUUCAAUUUUUUUUCUAUAUUUGAUCUUUCCUUUAAUUAAGGUUGAUACUCCUUUUGUUUCUAUUUACAUAUUGAUAUUUCUAAAAAUAGAUAUUCUUACCCCAUUUUUCCUAUUUUACCUUUGACGAGUAAUUAGACCAAUAUAGAAAAUUGAGUAAUUUAUUCAUAUUCAUUUAUCCAAUAAAUAAAUUCAUAUAUAUUUAUUAAAAAAAUAAUUUAAGAGAAUAUAUUUAAUAAGAAUAUAAUGAUAAGCUUAUGUAGUUUAGGAGGAGCGUAUUUCAAUUUCUAAGAGAAAAAUAAAUCAACUACCUGCAAAGUUAACUUCACAAAAAAGACAGUUGUGAAAAAUAUGAUUGAAAUGAUGUCUUACUAAAUGUGCAUUGCGCGAGGAGUAAAAUCUGUAGAGUUAUCAAAUUUUUAUUGUGUUUGUAUUUAUUAUGAGAUUGAGGACAUGUUUUUUUCAUGAGAGAAAUGAUUUGGCGUUAGUAACCAUCAGUCGCAGUACUGCUAAAAAGGACUGCAGGUCUUAUCGUCUGUUUGAAUUUGUUAUGAGAUAAAAUAACAUGUUUUUUUAGUGAGAGUGUAAAUUGUGAUAAGAGUUGAGUCUCCAGUCUCCAUCCAUUCGCUGUAAUCAAUUCCAUUACUACUGAAAAGGAAGUUCUUAGCUCUAUUUAACUUCAAUUGCCUUUUUUUUUUCUCUCAAUCACACUUAACACUGCUUCAUUUCUUGUGUAGUCACUUCCUCCUUUAUUCUUUGUUUACUUUAAUUUCCAGCUCUUUCGAUUUCUGCAUUUUUUUUUAUAUAUUUUUCCUUUUUGUUGUGUUGAAUCAGAGUAAACAAAUAUGAAGAGUGCUGGAAGUAUGGGAAUCAACUAUAUGCAGAAAUUGCUAACGUCAAAUGUUCCAAAAGAAGUAGUCAAAAGAGGACAGGAUCGUGUUGUAGAGGCAUCUCUUACACUUAUUCGUGAAAGAGCAAAACUUAAGGUAUGUUAUUUUGAGUGGGACAGAGGCGGAUCUAGAAUUUUAUGGGUUUCAUAUUCGUAAUUUUACCACCACCAUCAUGCAAAAUGGACUUUUAAAAUUGAAAAUGUAGGAUUUAAAUUUUAAGUUACUUUGAUAGGGAGAGCUUGUUCGUGGACUUGGAGGUGCAGUAGCGUCAACGUCACUUCUUGGAAUUCCUCUGGGACACAACUCUUCAUUUCUCCAGGGCCCUGCAUUUGCUCCUCCUCUUAUACGAGAGGCUAUUUGGUGUGGCAGUACAAACUCCACAACUGAGGAAGGUUAGUCUACCUUUUCAAAAUUACUUUGGACAAAAUGAACAUGUAAAAGAUAUGAGAUAUCUUAACACGCCCAGACCAUAACUGGAUUAUAAAUGUUGGCUAUCAUCAGUGAACAACAAAUUGGGAUGGGUCUGAUACCACGUAAAGAUGGAUCUACUGUGUGUAGAAAAGAAUAAAUUAAUAAAUGCAGUCUAAUUCGCUAGACCUCUUGAAUGUUAAAAUACAUAAUGGAGUCAUGUAUUCCUUUAUUCGUAUUGUGCAGGAAAAAUAUUAGAUGAUCAACGUGUCUUAACUGAUGUUGGUGAUCUGCCAGUACAAGAGUUACGAGACACAGGCAUAGAUGACGAUAGGUUGAUGAGUACAGUAAGUGAAUCUGUCAAGCUAGUUAUGGACGAGGUAAGCCAUCACCUAUCGGAGAGUAUUUUAAUACAGUAGACCUUUGUUAGGAUGCACCCAUUAAAUUACUAAAAUCAUUAUAAAGGACUCACCCUGUAUGCUUCAAUUUUCUAACAUUUUCAGAAUCCAUUGCGCCCCUUGGUGUUAGGGGGUGAUCACUCUAUAUCCUAUCCUGUUGUAAGAGCUGUGUCUGAAAAGCUCGGAGGACCUGUUGAUAUCCUUCACCUUGAUGCUCAUCCUGACAUUUAUGAUGCAUUUGAAGGAAACAAAUACUCACAUGCAUCAAGCUUUGCACGAAUAAUGGAGGGUGGUUAUGCUCGACGCCUUUUGCAAGUA